rnacentral:rRNA from 1 species
UACUCCUACGGGGGGCAGCAGUGGGGAAUAUUGCACAAUGGGGGAAACCCUGAUGCAGCGACGCCGCGUGGGUGAAGAAGCGCCUCGGCGCGUAAAGCCCUGUCAGCAGGGAAGAAAAUGACGGUACCUGAAGAAGAAGCCCCGGCUAACUACGUGCCAGCAGCCGCGGUAAUACGUAGGGGGCAAGCGUUAUCCGGAUUUACUGGGUGUAAAGGGCGUGUAGGCGGGGACGCAAGUCAGAUGUGAAAACCACGGG